rnacentral:lncRNA from 1 species
CUGUCUCGGCCUCCCAAGUAGCUGGGACUACAGGCAUGCGCCACCACACCCGGCUAAUUUUUGUAUUUUUAGUAGAGACGGGGUUUCUCCAUGUUGGUCAGGCUGGUUGUGAACUCCCGACCUCAGGUGAUCCGCCUGCCUUGGCCUCCCAAACUGCUGGGAUUACAGGUGUGAGCCACCGCACCCGGCCCAAACUCUUAAAUCUUUCAACAAGCAGCCCCACGCUUUUAUUAUGCAUUGGGCCCCCAAAAUUAUGUAUGCAGUGUUGUCUGAGUGUUUGCAUGUUCAAGAACACUGUUAUUUUGUUCUCACUCUUAAAGAUAGUAAACAGAAUAUAGAAUUCUAAAUUCAAAAUCAUCUUCCUUCAUAAAAAUUUAGCACUUUGGAGAUAGUUCCCAUUUGGAAGAUAAACCAUUGAGUGCCAGUCUGUUGAAACUUUCUAUGUCUCCUCUGGCAAUAUGUAGAAUUUUCACCUUAGCUUUAGCGAACGAUCCUUGGAAUUCUUAGGAGGUUGAAAUUAUACUAGGUGAUAUCUGUGUGUGAACUUUCUCCCACUAUUGUUGCUCACCACCUGGGGCCACAAGGAAAUUCACUUUAAAAAAAAUGGAUUAGGGCCGGGCGCAGUGGCUCACGCCUGUAAUCCCAGCACUUUGGGAGGCCGAGGCAGGUGGAUCACGAGGUCAGGAGAUCGAGACCAUCCUGGCCAACAUGGUGAAACCCCGUCUCUACUAAAA